rnacentral:rRNA from 1 species
AAUCAACGCUGGCGGCGUGCCUCAGACAUGCAAGUCGAACGCGAAAUUUCCCUUCGGGGAGAAAGUAGAGUGGCGCACGGGUGAGUAACACGUAGGUAAUUUGCCUUUGGGUGGGGAAGUAACUCAGGGAAACUUGAGCUAAUACCGCAUAAUGCAGCGGCUCGACAUCGAGACAGUUGUUAAAGCGGGGGAGUUGGAGCAAUCCGACCUCG